UUUAAAGGUCGAACAGACCUAAUAACUUCCAGCCCCUACACCGAAAAUAAACCUUAAUCCAACAUCGAGGUCGCAAACCCCCCUGCCGAUAAGAACUCUCAAGGGGGAUAACGCUGUUAUCCCUAAGGUAAUUUAAUCUUACAAUCAAAAUAAAUGGAUCAAAUAAUUAUAAAUAAAUAUAACAACAUAAAGGAGGGGUUAAAUAAAUUCCUCCCAUCACCCCAACAAAACAUACUAAAUGGCCCAGUGAACCCUCACAAACAGAAAAGAACCAUAAUAAAUGUUAAACUCUAUAGGGUCUUCUCGUCCCAUAAAAACAUCUAAGAAUUUUAACUCAAAGACCAAAUUCAAUAAACAAUUCAAAAUUAAGACAGCCCAUGCCUCGUCAAGCCAUUCAUACCAGAUCACAAUUAAAGAACUAAUGACUAUGCUACCUUUGCACGGUCAAAAUACCGCGGCCCUUCAACAUCAAAGUCAGCGGGCAGGCCAUACUUCAAAAACUAA
rnacentral:rRNA from 1 species